rnacentral:lncRNA from 1 species
GUCUGGAUUUUAUUGGAUAAAUGUGAACAACAGUUUUACAGUGUUCUGGUUCAUGGGGUAGAAGUACAUUCCUGAGCGUUAUUAUCCACUAGCCACAAUAGGGAUCUUCAGGACACAGAGGAAUCAGUCGGUGGGGUGCCCUUGAGAGGUGGAAGGCAUCCUUGCUGAAGCUUCGACCAGGAGAAUUAGUGUUUAGAGAAGAGUUUGAAGUUGUAUAUAUUUCCUUUUUGGGUUUAGGUAACAUUAGGUGACUGGGGUAGGAGAAUUGGAGAAAGGCAGAUUGAUAGGUCCUCAUUGUCUCUGAGCUGCUGCCAUCGAAAGAAUGUUGAGAGAAAGAUCGGAAAGAGCCUAGCCCAAGGAUGCAUUUUCCUCUUUAUUUUCUGUGUGGCCUAUCACAGGCAGGCCCCCAAAAUGGCAUAUCUCAUUUCAUCACCCAUGAAAUGUGGUUAGUAGUAACUCACUUAACAUGGUUGUGAUGUACAUUAAGCAGAAAGUAUACUUGUAAUCAUUGGUAAACUAUACUGCACUGGCCUUCCAUGCAUGCAAUCCACCUCAUUUGAAUUCAUCUGUGUUACUCUGUUUUAUGUGAUUUAUGAUUAAAUUUAAAAUGUACAUCUGGGUAAGGCAGGUGGUGAGGAGGAAUUGAAGGGAGGCUUUGAUUCUGUUUUCCAGACCUCAACCUGAAGGAUGAGGAAAGCUUUGGUUACUGUGGUCCACUUUUCUUUCUUUUUGGUUGAAGUCCAGAUUUGCAAAACAGUGUCUCCAAUGAGUUUUUGUGGAAUUCAUUUAGGGUCAGGGUGACCUUGUUCUGAGAUAGGUUCUGACAUAUUCCAUUUGACACCGUUUCCUUUGCUAAGCAAUCUUUCACCUGCCAAGAAAAGCUCUGCUUCCACACCAAAGCAGGACCUCGAGUUUCAAACUGAGGGGAUGACAGUCAGCAGCUUCCACCAAGACAAACCUGUGUCUGCUUUGCAGGAGCUUGUCAAGAAUCCUGGUGACUAAGGACUGGUUUGAAAAUAACCGGUAUUGUCCACGGGCUGAUCAUAGGAGUUGGUCUUUGAUCAUCAGAAGAAAAGUGGGUUAAAUUGGCCAAACUUGCCCGCUCCCAUCCACUGUCUGUCUUCCAAUCCCUGAAUCCCAAGAUAAAUAACAAUCAACUUUCACUGUACUUUACUUUUGUGUGUGCAAAUCUGGCAUUGUAAUAAGGCUUGAAUCUCUUGAGAAAAUGGCAGGUAAAUAUGAGCAGAGAAGAGCACUUCA